AGACUUGCGCAGUGGCAGUAUUGUAACCCAUGAAGCUCUAGCUGAGGUGCAAUUAUUGCUAAUUGAAAACUUUAACCAAUACCUCGCCAUAGUGGACGUUAAAAUAUUAAUGUUUAUUAUGACAAUUUUUCAAAGCCCGCAAGGGC